GUCCACGCCGUAAACGUUGGGCGCUAGGUGUGGGGCACUUUCCACGUGCUCUGUGCCGCAGCUAACGCAUUAAGCGCCCCGCCUGGGGAGUACGGCCGCAAGGCUAAAACUCAAAGGAAUUGACGGGGGCCCGCACAAGCGGCGGAGCAUGCGGCUUAAUUCGACGCAACGCGAAGAACCUUACCAAGGCUUGACAUAUACGGAAAUCCGUCAGAGAUGGCGGGUCCGCAAGGGUCGUAUACAGGUGGUGCAUGGUUGUCGU
rnacentral:rRNA from 1 species